UACGUAGGGUGCGAGCGUUGUCCGGAAUUAUUGGGCGUAAAGGGCUCGUAGGCGGUCUGUCGCGUCGAAAGUGAAAACCCAGGGCUUAACCCUGGGCCUGCCUCCGAUACGGGCAGACUAGAGGUAUGCAGGGGAGAACGGAAUUCCUGGUGUAGCGGUGAAAUGCGCAGAUAUCAGGAGGAACACCGGUGGCGAAGGCGGUUCUCUGGGCAUUACCUGACGCUGAGGAGCGAAAGUGUGGGGAGCGAACAGG
rnacentral:rRNA from 1 species